rnacentral:rRNA from 1 species
UACGUAGGUGGCGAGCGUUAUCCGGAAUGAUUGGGCGUAAAGGGUGCGUAGGCGGCCUGCUAAGUCUGGAGUGAAAGGUACCGGCUCAACCGGUACAGGCUCUGGAAACUGGCGGGCUAGAGAGCAGGAGAGGGCGGUGGAACUCCAUGUGUAGCGGUAAAAUGCGUAGAUAUAUGGAAGAACACCGAUGGCGAAGGCAGCCUCCUGGGACGCAACUGACGCUCAUACACGAAAGCGUGGGGAGCAAACAGG